GUUCCUUGUAUAAUGUGGUUUGAAACCCUUCCCUCUCUUGUCUGUCUCUGGGCACCCUUGCCUGUCAGGGUCCCUGUGAAGCCGCCAUGUAAGAAGCAGGCUUUUUGCCCUCCCCCAUGAUUGUGAGACGUUCCCCAGCCAUGUGGAACUGACCAUAGUCUCUGAAGACAAAUUGCCUGGGUUUGAGUUCCAGCUCCGCAUUUCCUUGCUUUGUAAACGUGGGUUUGCUGGCAGUUCCUACCUACUCUGAUGUCAGGCACAGGGGAGCCUGGAAGCUGUUGAAAUGAGGAUUUUUCCAGGUUAUGCCAUCAGGUUUUCUUUCUGGAUCUCCAGCCCCAUUCCCACCUGGAUUCCGGGAAUUGCCCCUUCGCUGACCCACAUGGUGACAGUGGUCCUUGUGUGAACAAGGUCCCACCUCUGAGGUCACCUGUGAUGGACUGGACCAAAGUCUCUUCCCCAGAAAUCAAGGCUUGGAAGUAAUAACUGAUAACAUCAGUCGAGAUGAUCUUUGAAUGGAAGAGAUAUAAAUAGAAGAAUGUGGUAGCCAUUUUCUGCCUUGUCCACUUGUAAAUACACUGAGAAAGGAAGUGUGCAGUGAGUGUGAGAGGUAGAGCAGAGGCUCAGGUAAGAGCGGGGCCAGGAGCAGAGACUGAGCGAGGUGGGCCACUGUGGAAUCACCCAGCAUUCUCAUCUGCAAAUUACCCCUCUUGCUUAGGCUGGCUCCAGUGGGUUUCCACCGCUCGUACUUGAAGAGUUCACACAAAUACACCUGAGUAAUUAAAGGAACAAAAUUCAUCGCAUGAAACAAUUUUCUUGGAAGCCUUUCUUGAAUCCCCUAAACUGAGUUAGGAGCUCCUCUCAAACAUGGCUACUUCCCUUUCCCCAUGGAAUUAGCUGUAUCUUAGCCCUAGUCAUCCUCUUCCAAAAAAUAUGCCUGUAUUAAAAAAAAAUUUAUCUUUA